AUGUUAAAGUCUCAGUCGUUCUUAAGCAUAUAUCGGAUAAAGAUGUUUCGGAUUCUGUGCAUUCUUGUUAUCUGGCUAUCAGCAGAAGCCUGCCACUUGUUGGAUAAAGAAACAAUUGGAUCGAAAUUAGGGAUCUUCUUAAACAAACGUGGACCACCACUACAUCACCAUCACUUUGCACAACCAUUGCCACAUGGUUUCGACUUAACACCAGCACCAGCAUCAUACCAUUAUGGACAACUACCCCUCUACCCAUUUGUACAACUACCUUCAUACCAAUCUGUACAACUACCUCAAUAUCAAGUUGGACAACUACCUCCAAACCAGUUUGGACAACUACCACCUGGUGUCAACCUGCCACCGUUAUCAUUCCAAUUUGGACACCCAUCGUCACAUGUUUUUGUCCCACUGCCACCAAAGCAUCAUAUAUAUACUUCUACAACCGCAUCUAAACCAAUAGUUUACAAACAAUUUGAACAACUACCUCCAUAUCAAUUUGGACAACAACCUCCAAACCAAUUUGGACAACUAACACCUAGUGUCAGUUCGCCACCGUCAUCUUUCCAAUUUGGACAACCAUCGUCUCAUGUUUAUAUCCCACUGCUAACAAAGCAACAUAUAUAUACUACAACUACAACUAAACCAAUAAUAAUGAAUGUAUCGAAAACAAAUCCAGUUUUAUCUAAAACAAUAUCAUUCCAAUUUGGACAAUCAUCGCCAUAUGUUUAUGUCCCACAGCUAACAAAGCAUCGUAUAUAUACUUUUACAACUAAACCAAUAAUGGAUGUAUCGAAAACAACUCCAGUUUUAUCUAAAACUACAUUAACAGAAGAACCAACAACAAUACAACCAAGAACAUCACCCUCAACAACAUUGGCACCAACCACUAUAAGUUUAACAACUCUAAUCUUGCCUGAAGCUCAAUGAAAUCGUAUAAUUUAUUAUUUAAUUUGCAUUUAAUAUUAUAAUACAAGAAUUAUAAUUAUUAUUAUAUACCGAUUGCUGGUUUAUAAAUAUUUUUUCUCAUUGAGAUAAUUACUAGAAUUUAUCAAUGACCUAAUAACGAGAGUUCAAUAUUGAUUCAUUGAAAUGUAAAAAUACUGUAUAAUAUUUAAAAUAUAAGUUUUCAUCUUCAUGUUGUUGAUUAAUCUAAAAGGAAGUUUCAUUAAUAAUAUUUGAUUUGUCACAUUUUAUAAACCAUAAUGAUGAUUUACAAAUUUCAAUUACCGGGAAAUCUAUCUUCUGGUUUUUGUUCCAAAUCCUUUGUCCCAAGUCAUUGACUAUAAUUUAUUAAAUGCUCCGGUAUACAGUUUAGGAAAAGAUUAACAAGACAAAACACAGAUAAGUUUUUGUUGAAAGAUAUGAAAUAUAGGCCAUCGUCUAUUCUGCCAGUUGAAAAUGCGUGUCCAGAUCAGGUUUGCCAUUUCACCAGGCUCGUCUUGUUGUUCGAAAUUGGCGAGUCAACGUUCGACGUAAAUUCCACCGAGCUCCGGGAACUGAAAAACCAUGAGCCGGUCGCAUUUUAAGGCUAAAUUCGACAAAUAAAACAGAGGCGUCGCGACCGUGUUCGUUAGUAGUAUCGUACGAUCGCAGCAAGAUGUUUCGGACGCUGUGUCUGGUUUUGCUGGUGCAAUUUGUGUGUUCCUCGAACAUCAAUGUUUCGAUGCACGGACGCCAUACCGCGAUCAUAAGGGCGUAUGGGGAGGACGAGUUCUUGGGGAUUAGCGCCAAAGUUAGGGGAUUGGACGGUCGUACCAUCGGAACGAAAUACUCCGACAAGCCCGAGUUGACAUUGCAUUAUCCAGGUGUGGAUCUGAAGAGUGGAUUUACGGUUGAGUACAUCCUUACUUGGCGUGGAGCCGGUGGAGUUUACCCUGAGGAAGGAUCGUUCAGUUAUAAUGUCCGUGAUCGCCAUCCACAAAGAUUGAAACGUUCUCCAGGACAUGGAGGACACGGCGGAUUUGGGGGACGUAGAGGACACGGCGGAUUCGAAGGACGUGAAGAAGGACCGGGAUUCGGCUUCGACCCCUUUAAAUUCGUGCCGAAACAAUCUCCCGGCUUUUUCCCCAAAGGACCUGAGUUUCCGCGACCAGGACCUCCUCCGUUCUGGUCUCCAGGAGGUUUCCCACCACAUAAUGGCUGGGAUAAACCCCAUCAUCACCAUCACCAUCACCAUGGCCUCGGCAGUGACCCGAAAAAACCAUGUUCCAGUGAAGAAGAUGAGUGGAAUGCAGGAAAUGGUUCAAGUAAUGGCAAUUCCAAUGGUAACAAAUGGAAUGGGCCAGAUAAUAACAAUUUGAAUGGAAACAACUGGCAAAAUAACUGGAGUACAAGUGCAACUAUAACACAGAAACCUAAACCUGUUGUUGAAAUAACCACCCCCCCAUUGAUUGUGCCAACCACUCCACCCCCAACUACCCCAUCUCCAGAUAGUACACCACUUAUUGACAUUAGAUUUGGAAAAGAUAACUAAUCUCUUGAUUCCAUCAGUGGCACUGUCUUAAUCAUCUUUUAUCAUGAAUGUAUGAGAUGUGAUUUGUGGAAUUAUAUAUAGUGUUUAAUCUUAAUACGAAUUAUGCAUUAGACUAAUGAAAUAUAUUUAUACUGAAUUUUUGACUGUGAUUUUUAUAAGUAAUAAAAUGUAUUCUACAACA